rnacentral:rRNA from 1 species
UACGAGGGCCCCAAGCAUUAUCCGGAUUUAUUGGGCGUAAAGCGUCCGUAGACGGUUUGUCGCAUCUCCUGUUAAAUCCUCUGGCUCAACCAGGGGGCUGCGGGAGAGAUGGAUAAACUAGAGACUGGAAGAGGCAAUCGGAAUUGCUGGUGUAGGGGUUAAAUCCGUUAAUAUCAGCAGGAACACUCAAUGCGAAGGCAAAUUGCUGGGACAGUUCUGACGUUCAGGGACGAAAGCGUUGGGAGCGAAUGGGAUUAGAUACCCGUGUAGUCCCU